UAAUACGUAUGGGGCAAGCGUUGUUCGGAUUUACUGGGCGUAAAGGGCUUGUAGGUGGCAGGAUAAGUCGGAUGUGAAAUCUCCGGGCUCAACCCGGAAACUGCGUUCGAAACUGUCUUGCUAGAGUACCGGAGAGGGAGACGGAAUUCCUGGUGUAGGGGUGAAAUCUGUAGAUAUCAGGAAGAACACCGGUGGCGAAGGCGGUCUCCUGGCCGGAUACUGACACUGAGGAGCGAAAGCUAGGGGAGCAAACAGGAUUAGAUACCCUGGUAGUCCUAGCUGUAAACGUUGUGCACUAGGUGUAAGUGGUAUCCAAUCCACUUGUGCCGCAGCUAACGCAUUAAGUGCACCGCCUGGGGAGUAUGCUCGCAAGGGUG
rnacentral:rRNA from 1 species